rnacentral:tRNA from 1 species
GUGCCUGUAGUUCAAUGGUAGAACGCCGCUCUGUGGCAGCGGUCACGAGGGUCCGAUUCCCUUCAGGCACCCCA